CGGACGGGGACGCGUUCUCGAUUAGCUUCGUUCGGCGGGGUAACGGCCCACCAAGGCGACGAUCAGUAGGGGUUUCUCGAGAGGAAUGUCCCCCACAUUCGGAAACUCGAGACACGGUCCAAACUCCUACGGGAGGCAGCAGUCGAGGAAAUAUUCGGUUCAAUGGGCGCGAGCCUGAACCAGCCAAGUAGCGUGCAGGAUGACGGCCCUAUGGGUGUAAACUGCUUUUGUAUGGGGAUAAAGUCAAUCACGUGUGAUUCGUUUGCAGGUACCAUACGAAUAAGGGACCGGCUAAUUUCCGUGCCAGCCAGCCGCGGUAAUACGGAAGGUCCGGGCGUUUAUCCGGAUUUAUUGGGUUUAAAGGGAGCGUAGGCUGGAGAUUAAGUGUGUUUGUGAAAUGUAGACGCUCAACGUCUGACUUGCAGCGCAUACUGGUUUCCUUGAGUACGCACAACGUUGGCGGAAUUCGUCGUGUAGCGGUGAAAUGCUUAGAUAUGACGAAGAACUCCGAUUGCGAAGGCAGCUGACGGGAGCGCAACUGACGCUGAAGCUCGAAGGUGCGGGUAUCGAACAGGAUUAGAUACCCUGGUAGUCCGCACAGUAAACGAUGGAUGCCCGCUGUUGGUACUUGGUAUCAGCGGCUAAGCGAAAGCAUUAAGCAUCCCACCUGGGGAGUACGCCGGCAACGGCGAAACUCAAAGGAAUUGACGGGGGCCCGCACAAGCAGUGGAGUAUGUGGUUUAAUUCGAAGAUACGCGAAGAACCUUACCAAGGCUUGACAUACAGAGGAAUAAGUAGGAAACUAUUUAGCUCUUCGGAGUCUCUGUACAGGUGGUGCAUGGUUGUCGUCAGCUCGUGUCGUGAGAUGUUAGGUUAAGUCCUGCAACGAGCGCAACCCCUAUUUCUAGUUGCCAGCACAUAAUGGUGGGAACUCUAGAAAGACUGCCGGUGAUAAAUCGGAGGAAGGUGGGGACGACGUCAAAUCAUCAUGCCCUUUAUGUCUUGGGCAACACACGUACUACAAUGGCCGUUACAGAGAGAAGCAAUACAGUGAUGUGGAGCAAAACUCAAAAAGCGGUCUCAGUUCGGACUGUAGGCUGAAAUUCGCCUACACGAAGUCGGAAUUGCUAGUAAUGGCAGGUCAGAAUACUGCCGUGAAUACGUUCCCGGGCCUUGUACACACCGCCCGUC
rnacentral:rRNA from 1 species